UUUAAGUGCAAUUAUGAGUUUCCGCGCUAAACUUUGAUCGCCCGUCUUGUUUGAAAUAUUUUUAAUUAGUAUUUUUGUUGUUAUGAGAUGAUAAAACAUAAAUAGUACUUUACUCAUGACUUAUGGUUUUAAAAUUUUUUAAAUAAGACGGACGAUGAAAGUUGGGCACGAAAAACCAUGGCUGCACUUAAA
rfam:Oryza glumipatula chromosome 9, whole genome shotgun sequence.